rnacentral:rRNA from 1 species
UGCAUAUCAAAUAAGCGGAGGAAAAGAAACCAACAGGGAUUGCCUUAGUAACGGCGAGUGAAGCGGCAAAAGCUCAAAUUUGAAAUCGGCCACCAGGUCGAGUUGUAAUUUGUAGAUUGUAUCUUGAGAGCGGAUUAAAGUCUGUUGGAACACAGCGCCUUAGAGGGUGACAGCCCCGUAAAAUCUAUUCUCAUUGUAAGAUACUUUCGAAGAGUCGAGUUGUUUGGGAAUGCAGCUCUAAGUGGGAGGUAAAUUCCUUCUAAAGCUAAAUAUUGACGAGAGACCGAUAGCGAACAAGUACUGUGAAGGAAAGAUGAAAAGCACUUUGAAAAGAGAGUGAAAAAGUACGUGAAAUUGUUAAAAGGGAAGGGUAUUGAAUCAGACUUGGUGCUGUUGUUCAACUGUGUUUCGGCAUAGUGUACUCAGCAGUACUAGGCCAAGGUGGGGUGUUUGGGAGUGAAAAAGAAGUUGGAAGGUAACUCUUCGGAGUGUUAUAGCCUACUUUCAUAGCUCCUCAGGCGCCUCAGGACUGCGCUUCGGCAAGGACCUUGGCAUAAUGAUUCUAUACCGCCCGUCUUGAAACACGGACCA